GCGCAGCAGUCGAGAAACCUCCGCAAUACACGAAAGUGUGACGGGGCCAUCCCGAGUGCCGUCCGCUGAGGACGGCUUUUCCCCAGUGUACACAGCUGGGGGAAUAAGGAGAGGGCAAGCCUGGUGUCAGCCGCCGCGGUAAUACCAGCUCUCCGAGUGGUGGGGACGCUUAUUGGGCCUAAAGCAUCCGUAGCCGGCUGGGCAAGUCCUCCGUUAAAUCCAACGAUUCAAUCGUUGGCUGGCGGGGAUACUGUCCAGUC
rnacentral:rRNA from 1 species